rfam:Oryza barthii chromosome 2, whole genome shotgun sequence.
AAAAAGACAAACCAUGGGUUUCCAUGUCCAACGUUUAACUGUCCGUUUUAUAUGCAAUUUUUUUAUAAUUAGUAUUUCCAUUGUUGUUAGAUGAUAAAACAUGAUUAAUACUUUAUGCGUGACUUGUCUUUUUAAUUUUUUUCAUAAUUUUUUUAGAUAAGACGGACGGUCAAACGUUGGACACGGAAAUCCAGGGUUUGUCUUUUU